UACGUAGGGUCCAAGCGUUAUCCGGAAUCACUGGGCGUAAAGCGUGCGUAGGUGGAUGUUUAAGUGUGAUGUUAAAUCGUGGGGCUCAACCCUAUCGAUGCAUCGCAUACUGGGCAUCUAGAGGACGGCAGAGGCAAGUGGAAUUUGUAGUGUAGCAGUGAAAUGCGUAGAUAUUACAAGGAACACCAAUGGCGAAGGCAGCUUGCUGGGCCGACCCUGACGCUGAGGUACGAAAGCGUGGGGAGCGAACAGG
rnacentral:rRNA from 1 species